rnacentral:rRNA from 1 species
CCUACGGGUGGCAGCAGUCGAGAAUCAUUCACAAUGGGGGCAACCCUGAUGGUGCGAAGCAGCGUGCGGGAAUGAAGGUCUUCGGAUUGUAAACCCCUGUCAUGUGGGAGCAAAUUAAAAAGAUAGUACCACAUAAGGAAGAUACGGCUAAGUCUAUGCCCGCCGCCGCGGUAAUACACAGGUCUCAAGCGUUGUUCGGAAUCACUGGGCGUAAAGCGUGUGGAGGCUGUUUCGUAAGUCGUGUGUGAAAGGCGCGGGCUCAACCCGCGGACGGCACAUGAUACUGGGAGACUAGAGUAAUGGAGGGGGAACCGGAAUUCUCGGUGUAGCAGUGAAAUGCGUAGAUAUCGAGAGGAACACUCGUGGCGAAGGCAGGUUCCUGGACAUUAACUGACGCUGAGGCACGAAGGCCAGGGGAGCGAAAGGGAUUAGAUACCCGAGUAGUC